rnacentral:rRNA from 1 species
UACAGAGGUCUCAAGCGUUGUUCGGAUUCAUUGGGCGUAAAGGGUGCGUAGGUGGCGCCAUAAGUCAGGUGUGAAAUCUCGGGGCUCAACCCCGAAACUGCACUUGAUACUGUGGUGCUCGAGUACUGGAGAGGAGAUUGGAAUUUACGGUGUAGCAGUGAAAUGCGUAGAGAUCGUAAGGAAGACCAGUGGCGAAGGCGGGUCUCUGGACAGUUCCUGACACUGAGGCACGAAGGCCAGGGGAGCAAACGGG